CUCCCCACUUCUUGGCUAAUCUCGCGGAAGGCUGCUUCUUCCUGUGCGCGGCGGCCCUCACCCGGCCUGCGCCCCGCUUCCUGGUCACACCAGGUGGCUUUCAGGACUGCUGCCAUCCGGGGCUCAGGUCUUUGGGGACAGGAUCUACUGGUUGCCAGCACCUGGCAGAGACCUUGUCCUCGAGCAGGGGAUCUGAUCCACAGGAGUGAAUUUGACCGACCUAAGCUUCUGAUCCCAAGGCCACAGGACCAUUCAGCUUGGUUCUUCUCCCUCUGCACAGCUGAAUGGCUCUUGGCUCAGAGAGGGGCAGGCCUGGCCCAAGACCACACAGCCCCUGGAUGGGGAAUGUCAGGACUCCAGGCUCCUGGAGGGCAGGAGACUGAACCCAGCGGGUAUCCAGGCUCAGGAAGAGAUGGAGCAGGAAGACAGGAAGGUGGAGGAUCUCUGGCUGGCUCCCGGGGCACGAGGCCGAGCGGAGACGGGGUGACAGAAGAUUCCCCACACUCCUGGGAGUUAUACGUGAUGGUGGAGUGUGUUCGACCUGUGGUACCUGCGUGGAGUCGAGCUUCCCAGUCUACGGUGGCACAUGGUGUGGAGUCACACUGGUGGCGCAUUCAAAUGUGACAUAGAAAGUUCUGUCCCGUUCACUCUACUGUCUUUCCCAUCACCUCCACUGACCUCUCUUCUUCAUUUUUUUUUAAGUGAAAGUAAUCUACAAGUCGUGGUAAAAUAGACACCAACAGACACCACAGGAAGUUAUUUUUCAACCAUUUCUAAGGUGCGAACUUUUCCACCAUGGAUCAUGGGAACUCCCGUCACGCCCCGCUGAGACUCUGCCCCGGUCAACCACCACCUCCCGGCCUGCAGCCGCCAGCCCCCAGGAGUCCCCUCCGUCUAUGGAUCCUCCCUCCCUGGGUACCACCUGCUCCAGGACCCGCUGCGCCUCCCUAGGAGUCAGGCAGAAGCUACAAGCCCUGGGCCCCCCACCCCCA
rnacentral:lncRNA from 1 species